GAAACCCUUUCCUCAUAUUCCUAUCUACAAACCUCCUUUUCCUCAUAUUCCUAUCUUCAAAAAACCUUUCCCUCCACAUGAGCCUAUCUAUGAAAAACCUCUUCCUCCGCCUACACCGGUCUAUGAAAAACCAGUUCCUCCGCCUACACCUGUCUAUGAAAAACCUCUUCCUCCGCCUACACCGGUCUAUGAGAAACCUCUUCCCCCGCCUACACCUGUCUAUGAGCCUCCACCAACUCCUGUAUAUCAUAAACCUCUUCCCCCACCUACGCCUGUCUAUGAGAAACCUCUUCCUCCACCUACACCUGUAUAUCAUAAACCACAUCCACCACCGGCUCCGGUCAAAGGUUGUCCACCAAAGGUUGAACACCCAAUUCUACCACCUGCUCCAGUAUACAAAC
rnacentral:lncRNA from 1 species